UCAUUUUUCUCCAGCAGUCGAUGAGGGAGGUUCCUGUGUCUGCAGCUCCUGGGGUGAAGUCCCAGACGGCCUUCUGUUGCUCUGCUUUGUUUCCGGAGGGCCUCUGGUGACUGAAGAAUGCCUGGGGUGCUGCUCUGCUCAUCGGGGAGUCUUCUCUGAGGUCGUCAGUAAGUGGAGCUUGAGGCGGGCCGCCAUUGCCAAUGGAGCCGGGUUGUUCAGGGAGCUGCUCUUCAGUAGGAACACAAUUAGACAGGAACUAAUCUGGGAGGAGCAAGAACUUAUAUACAGAGAAGGCGGGGCUAAUGAGAUCAUUAUCCGAAAAAAAGGAAGGAAGAAAGAAAAGAAAGAAAGAAAGAGAAAGAAAGAGAAAGAAA